AUUGAACGCUGGCGGCAGGCCUAACACAUGCAAGUCGAGCGGAGCGGCGGUUGGGUGAGUAAUGCCUAGGCAUCUGCCUGGUAGUGGGGGAUGACGUCCGGUAACGGGCGCUAAUACCGCAUACUAUCAGAUGAGGCUAGGUCGGAUUAGCUAGUUGGUGGGGUAAAGGCCUACCAAGGCGACGAUCCGUAACUGGUCUGAGAGGAUGAUCAGUCAAACUGGGACUGAGACACGGCCCAGACUCCUACGGGAGGCAGCAGUGGGGAAUAUUGGACAAUGGGCGAAAGCCUGACCCAGCCAUGCCGCGUGUGUGAAGAAGGCCUUCGGAUUGUAAAGUUCUUUAAGUUGGGAGGCGUUACCAACAGAAUAAGCACCGGCUAACUUCGUGCCAGCCGCCGCGGUAAUUC
rnacentral:rRNA from 1 species